GUUCCCUCGGGGCCUGGAGGAUGUGUCUCCAUACUCAGUGCUCAUAGAGGAGUUGCUGAAACGAAGCUGGAAUGAACAGGAACUCCAAGGCAUCCUUCGAGGAAACCUGCUUCGGGUCUUCCGACAGGUGGAACAGGUACAAGAGAAAAACAAAUGGCAAAGUCCCCUGCAAGACAUGAUUCCGGAGGAGCAGCUGGACAGUGCUUGCCACUCAGUCCUGCAACAUCAGAAACAGUAUCCAGAAAAGAACCAACCAGAGACUCCGGAAUAUCAUAUACUCAAGUUAUCACCCAAGUUCUCACACUCAGAAUCCUCUCCCCACAUAGUCCCAAGCCUCACCAUUGUUGUGACCUUUUUAGGCCUUAUCGUAUGACUUUUAGAGGACACCCAGUCCUCUCCGAUAUCAUUCUGGUACCCUGAAAGUCCCUCCACUUGUGCAGGGGCAAAUAUUUCCUAGAAGUAAAUGCUUUGGACAUAGAAA